rnacentral:rRNA from 1 species
GGGUUGUGAGGUUAAGCGACUAAGCGUACACGGUGGAUGCCCUGGCAGUCAGAGGCGAUGAAGGACGUGCUAAUCUGCGAUAAGCGUCGGUAAGGUGAUAUGAACCGUUAUAACCGGCGAUUUCCGAAUGGGGAAACCCAGUGUGUUUCGACACACUAUCAUUAACUGAAUCCAUAGGUUAAUGAGGCGAACCGGGGGAACUGAAACAUCUAAGUACCCCGAGGAAAAGAAAUCAACCGAGAUUCCCCCAGUAGCGGCGAGCGAACGGGGAGCAGCCCAGAGCCUGAAUCAGUGUGUGUGUUAGUGGAAGCGUCUGGAAAGGCGCGCGAUACAGGGUGACAGCCCCGUACACAAAAAUGCACAUGCUGUGAGCUCGAUGAGUAGGGCGGGACACGUGGUAUCCUGUCUGAAUAUGGGGGGACCAUCCUCCAAGGCUAAAUACUCCUGACUGACCGAUAGUGAACCAGUACCGUGAGGGAAAGGCGAAAAGAACCCCGGCGAGGGGAGUGAAAAAAAGAACCUGAAACCGUGUACGUACAAGCAGUGGGAGCACGCUUAGGCGUGUGACUGCGUACCUUUGUAUAAUGGGUCAGCGACUUAUAUUCUGUAGCAAGGUUAACCGAAUAGGGGAGCCGAAGGGAAACCGAGUCUUAACUGGGCGUUAAGUUGCAGGGUAUAGACCCGAAACCCGGUGAUCUAGCCAUGGGCAGGUUGAAGGUUGGGUAACACUAACUGGAGGACCGAACCGACUAAUGUUGAAAAAUUAGCGGAUGACUUGUGGCUGGGGGUGAAAGGCCAAUCAAACCGGGAGAUAGCUGGUUCUCCCCGAAAGCUAUUUAGGUAGCGCCUCGUGAAUUCAUCUCCGGGGGUAGAGCACUGUUUCGGCAAGGGGGUCAUCCCGACUUACCAACCCGAUGCAAACUGCGAAUACCGGAGAAUGUUAUCACAGGGAGACACACGGCGGGUGCUAACGUCCGUCGUGAAGAGGGAAACAACCCAGACCGCCAGCUAAGGUCCCAAAGUCAUGGUUAAGUGGGAAACGAUGUGGGAAGGCCCAGACAGCCAGGAUGUUGGCUUAGAAGCAGCCAUCAUUUAAAGAAAGCGUAAUAGCUCACUGGUCGAGUCGGCCUGCGCGGAAGAUGUAACGGGGCUAAACCAUGCACCGAAGCUGCGGCAGCGACGCUUAUGCGUUGUUGGGUAGGGGAGCGUUCUGUAAGCCUGCGAAGGUGUGCUGUGAGGCAUGCUGGAGGUAUCAGAAGUGCGAAUGCUGACAUAAGUAACGAUAAAGCGGGUGAAAAGCCCGCUCGCCGGAAGACCAAGGGUUCCUGUCCAACGUUAAUCGGGGCAGGGUGAGUCGACCCCUAAGGCGAGGCCGAAAGGCGUAGUCGAUGGGAAACAGGUUAAUAUUCCUGUACUUGGUGUUACUGCGAAGGGGGGACGGAGAAGGCUAUGUUGGCCGGGCGACGGUUGUCCCGGUUUAAGCGUGUAGGCUGGUUUUCCGGGCAAAUCCGGAAAAUCAAGGCUGAGGCGUGAUGACGAGGCACUACGGUGCUGAAGCAACAAAUGCCCUGCUUCCAGGAAAAGCCUCUAAGCAUCAGGUAACAUCAAAUCGUACCCCAAACCGACACAGGUGGUCAGGUAGAGAAUACCAAGGCGCUUGAGAGAACUCGGGUGAAGGAACUAGGCAAAAUGGUGCCGUAACUUCGGGAGAAGGCACGCUGAUAUGUAGGUGAAGUCCCUCGCGGAUGGAGCUGAAAUCAGUCGAAGAUACCAGCUGGCUGCAACUGUUUAUUAAAAACACAGCACUGUGCAAACACGAAAGUGGACGUAUACGGUGUGACGCCUGCCCGGUGCCGGAAGGUUAAUUGAUGGGGUCAGCGCAAGCGAAGCUCUUGAUCGAAGCCCCGGUAAACGGCGGCCGUAACUAUAACGGUCCUAAGGUAGCGAAAUUCCUUGUCGGGUAAGUUCCGACCUGCACGAAUGGCGUAAUGAUGGCGGGCUGUCUCCACCCGAGACUCAGUGAAAUUGAACUCGCUGUGAAGAUGCAGUGUACCCGCGGCAAGACGGAAAGACCCCGUGAACCUUUACUAUAGCUUGACACUGAACAUUGAGCCUUGAUGUGUAGGAUAGGUGGGAGGCUUUGAAGUGUGGACGCCAGUCUGCAUGGAGCCGACCUUGAAAUACCACCCUUUAAUGUUUGAUGUUCUAACGUGGACCCGUGAUCCGGGUUGCGGACAGUGUCUGGUGGGUAGUUUGACUGGGGCGGUCUCCUCCUAAAGAGUAACGGAGGAGCACGAAGGUUGGCUAAUCCUGGUCGGACAUCAGGAGGUUAGUGCAAUGGCAUAAGCCAGCUUGACUGCGAGCGUGACGGCGCGAGCAGGUGCGAAAGCAGGUCAUAGUGAUCCGGUGGUUCUGAAUGGAAGGGCCAUCGCUCAACGGAUAAAAGGUACUCCGGGGAUAACAGGCUGAUACCGCCCAAGAGUUCAUAUCGACGGCGGUGUUUGGCACCUCGAUGUCGGCUCAUCACAUCCUGGGGCUGAAGUAGGUCCCAAGGGUAUGGCUGUUCGCCAUUUAAAGUGGUACGCGAGCUGGGUUUAGAACGUCGUGAGACAGUUCGGUCCCUAUCUGCCGUGGGCGCUGGAGAAUUGAGGGGGGCUGCUCCUAGUACGAGAGGACCGGAGUGGACGCAUCACUGGUGUUCGGGUUGUCAUGCCAAUGGCACUGCCCGGUAGCUAAAUGCGGAAGAGAUAAGUGCUGAAAGCAUCUAAGCACGAAACUUGCCCCGAGAUGAGUUCUCCCUGACUCCUUGAGAGUCCUGAAGGAACGUUGAAGACGACGACGUUGAUAGGCCGGGUGUGUAAGCGCAGCGAUGCGUUGAGCUAACCGGUACUAAUGAACCGUGAGGCUUAACCUUACAACGCCGAAGCUGUU